AUACUCUGGUUUCUCUUCAGAUCAAAUAAAUAUUUUGCCUUUUACUAAAGAUUUCCAUGGAGAGGUACAACCAUGAGUUUUCAUCCAAUUUUUUUUUUUUGAAGCUCUACCGCA